UACGGAGGGGGCUAGCGUUGUUCGGAAUUAUUGGGUUUAAAGGGUGCGUAGGCGGUCUAUUAAGUCAGCGGUGAAAUACUCCAGCUUAACUGGAGGGGUGCCAUUGAUACUGAUGGACUUGAGUCAAGUCGAGGUAGGCGGAAUUGACGGUGUAGCGGUGAAAUGCUUAGAUAUCGUCAAGAACACCAAUAGUGAAGACAGCUUACUGGGCUUAAACUGACGCUGAGGCACGAAAGUGUGGGGAUCAAACAGG
rnacentral:rRNA from 1 species